rnacentral:rRNA from 1 species
AUGACGAGGCCAAAGAGAGCGGGUGGUAUUGGUUUUAGAGACAUGCACCUGUUCAAUUUAGCCCUUCUUGCCAAACAAGGGUGGAGGCUGAUUCAGAACCCGGAGAGUCUAUGUGCCCGGGUGCUCAAGUCUAAAUAUUACCCAAACGGCAACCUGUUGAACACCGUCUUUGCGUCGGAUGCGUCGCCUGUGUGGAGAGGUAUUGAAGCAGGGCUGGAGUUGCUGAAAAAGGGCGUCAUCUGGAGAGUGGGCAAUGGAAGAGAUAUUCAGAUCCAACGGGACCAGUGGUUACCAAGGAAAGAGGGUCUGAUGACCGCGGCAUUCAUAAGAAGAUCACGUCUUCGGUGGGUGAACCAACUCAUGCUCCCAGAUAUGAAGGAAUGGAAUGUUCCACUUAUCAAACAAAUUUUCUACCCUUUCGAUGCUGAUGAUAUAUGUAGAAUCCCAAUCCCUAGAUCGGAUGUGAGGGACUGCAUUGCCUGGCACCCUGAGAAGAAUGGGAUAUUCACAGUGAGGAGCGCUUAUAAGUUGGCGGCGGCGGCAAAGAAUAACGCGGCUUUGGAGGCCUCGAGCUCGACAAACAAUUCGGAGGACCGUAGCAUAUGA